AGCGGCGGACGGGUGGAGUAACACGUGGGUAACCUACCUAUAAGACUGGGAUAACUUCGGGAAACCGGAGCUAAUACCGGAUAAUAUUUCGAACCGCAUGGUUCGAUAGUGAAAGAUGGUUUUGCUAUCACUUAUAGAUGGACCCGCGCCGUAUUAGCUAGUUGGUAAGGUAACGGCUUACCAAGGCGACGAUACGUAGCCGACCUGAGAGGGUGAUCGGCCACACUGGAACUGAGACACGGUCCAGACUCCUACGGGAGGCAGCAGCG
rnacentral:rRNA from 1 species